CCCGAAAGAUCGAUGAGAGAUUCAUCGUCAGCGUGGUUAGUUUCCAUGCGUUUUCGCGAUGCUGCGGAAUGUUUGCCCCUCGCGGGCAGUUUCGAUUUGGCACGCCAUUCGCUGUGGUAUAUCUGAUUACGUCGGCGUGCACUUCUCCUCUAGUAGAACGUUGCGACCCGCUGGGUGUUGGCUUAAGGACCAAGCUGUAGACUGUUUUUGUUCGUUUACGCGUACAUUGGCAGACACUUGUGUUUCUGGCUGACUGCUUGGCGGUACACACAAGGUAUUGAGCCGCACUUUUGAAUGCGUUCAGACUCGUUUACAAGCUAAUUAUUGAAUAACUUGGGGGUGCGGACCUAGUGCCGUCCUUAAGGGUAGUUGGCUGUUAGUUUACGAUGUUCUCGAACUGGCUAAAACUGAAUUAACAAUACCGGUCAGCGGACGCUAUUGCUUUGGGUACUCUCAGGA
rnacentral:rRNA from 1 species